GCGAUUCGGCGACGUUCUUCUUAUGACUCGCUGAGCAGCUUCCGGGAAACCAAAGUUUUUCGGUUCCGGGGGAAGUAUGGUUGCAAAGCUGAAACUUAAAGGAAUUGACGGAAGGGCACCACCAGGAGUGGAGCAUGCGGCUUAAUUUGACUCAACACGGGAAAACUCACCCGUCCCGAACACUGUGAGGAUUGACAGAUCAAGAGCUCUUUCUUGAUUCAGUGGGUAGUGGUGCAUGGCCGUUCUUAGUUGGUGGAGCGAUUUGUCUGGCUAAUUCCGAUAACGAACGAGACUCUGGCCUACUAACUAGCGGCGGUGUUCAUGCCUCCUGACGGGGGCCGCGUGCGGCAACCGCCGGGCGCGCCCCUUGGAGCAGCAGCGCCGGCAGCCGCUUCUUAGAGGGACCAGCGACACUUUCGCAAGCCGCACGAGAAAGAGCAAUAACAGGUCUGUGAUGCCCUUAGAUGUACGGGGCUGCACGCGUGCUACACUGACGGCGUCAGCGUGCGUUCAAGCCCGGCCUGGCAAGGUCGGGAAAUCGGUUGAAACGUUCUCGUGACUGGGACAGGGAAUUGCAAUUAUUUCCCUCGAACGAGGAAUUCCCAGUAAGCGCGAGUCAUCAGCUUGCGUUGAUUACG
rnacentral:rRNA from 1 species